UUCCGGUUGAUCCUGCCGGACCCGACUGCUAUCGGAUUGAGAUUUAGCCAUGCGAGUCGAACGUCCCCCUGUUGCGGGGGGCGUGGCGUACGGCUCAGUAACACGUAGUCAACCUGCCCUGGAGACAAGGACAACCCCGGGAAACUGGGAUUAAUCCUUGAUAGGUCAUCUCAUCUGGAAGGAGAGAUGGCUUAAAGGGGUACGCGGGCUUCUUCCGCGAAUCUGCUCCAGGAUGGGACUGCGUCCGAUCAGGCUGUUGGCGGGGUAAUGGCCCACCAAACCUGUAACCGGUACGGGCCUUGAGAGAGGUGGCCCGGAGAUGGACACUGAGAGAAGGGUCCAGGUCCUACGGGGCGCAGCAGGCGCGAAACCUUCGCAAUGCGCGAAAGCGUGACGAGGUUAAUCCGAGUGACUCCCGCUGAGGGGGUCUUUUGUCAGCUGUAAAUAGGCAGGCGAAUAAGGGGAGGGCAAGCCUGGUGUCAGCCGCCGCGGUAAUACCAGCUCCUCGAGUGGUCGGGGCGAUUAUUGGGCCUAAAGCAUCCGUAGCCGGUUCCGUAGGUCCUCUGUUAAAUCCAACCGCUUAACGGUUGACCUGCAGAGGAUACCGCGGGACUAGGAGGCGGGAGAGGCGGACGGUACUCCGCGUGUAGGGGUAAAGUCCUUUGAUCCGCGGAAGACCACCAGUGGCGAAAGCGGUCCGCCAGAACGCGCUCGACGGUGAGGGAUGAAAGCUGGGGGAGCGAACCGGAUUAGAUACCCGGGUAGUCCCAG
rnacentral:rRNA from 1 species